GACGAACGCUGGCGGCGUGCUUAACACAUGCAAGUCGAACGGAAAGGCCCUGCUUUUGUGGGGUGCUCGAGUGGCGAACGGGUGAGUAACACGUGAGUAACCUGCCCUUGACUUUGGGAUAACUUCAGGAAACUGGGGCUAAUACCGGAUAGGAGCUCCUGCUGCAUGGUGGGGGUUGGAAAGUUUCGGCGGUUGGGGAUGGACUCGCGGCUUAUCAGCUUGUUGGUGGGGUAGUGGCAUACCAAGGCUUUGACGGGUAGCCGGCCUGAGAGGGUGACCGGCCACAUUGGGACGGAGAUACGGCCCAGACUCCUACGGGAGGCAGCAGUGGGGAAUAUUGCACAAUGGGCGGAAGCCUGAUGCAGCAACGCCGCGUGCGGGAUGACGGCCUUCGGGUUGUAAACCGCUUUCGCCUGUGACGAAGCGUGAGUGACGGUAAUGGGUAAAGAAGCACCGGCUAACUACGUG
rnacentral:rRNA from 1 species